ensembl:lncRNA
AGCACGCCUGACUUUGAGGUGCUUUUCUGCUGGAUGUGCUCUACCUCACUGCUUUGCCAUGAAACACUAGGGAUUUGGGGGCUGUCUCUGGGCAGCUUCCAAGGCUUUAGAGUCCCUGUGUUUUACAGGCAACCCAUGAAGCUUGUGUGGUGCCCCAGUUUUGAUGGAGAAAUAUGACCCUCACGCACUGCCUGCAGCUCAGGACAGGAUGGCCAUGUAGUCCCCCUGAACUCACCAGUACCCAAUGCGUGAAGAGUGCUGCUCCCUGCCCAGUGGAUGUGCCUUGAAGAGGGACCUUUUAUGCACACUUGUUGCUAAUCUGAAUCAAGCAAGACAAGGUGGCAGAAAAAACAAAAAUGAUGUUUCCUACAGUUACUCUGGUCUGAGCUCUGUGUAGGAAGGGACUUGGCCUGACAAGAGUCAAGCACUCAGAGAAAAUGUUAUUGAAGCAUUUCAAACUGGAGCUCUGUUGCUUUUGCUAUUCCACUUUGCAUCACAGUAUCUGGGCUAACAUGAACUGUAAAAGUGCUGUAAAAUGAGGAAGUGCUGGAGAAGAUGAAAUAUCUGGAGGAGAAACAAGGAAGCUGGAGAAAUAAGUCUGACAUAAGGACAGCUGCUUAAAGUCUAUGUUAAAUCAAAGCUCCUUCGUGAUGCAUUUCUGCACAAAGAUCUUAACAGCAGUUGGAUGUGAUUUAGUUUGAGUUUGGAGCUGUAGGUCAAUUCAUUGUGACUUGUCCACAAUGUGGCAAUUGAGGAACUCCUGUAAGACUGUCCAUGGGUUUCUGUUGAGUGGAUUGGUUGCAACAAGUAGAGUGGCACAAUGUCAGAGGGAAACAUGAACACAGGAACUAUUUCUCUACUGGAAACCCCUAUCUGGUAGCCUGAUAAAGUCUAAUUCAACUAAUUUUUCCUAAGUUGGGCAAGGAUUAGCUAUUGAACAAGAGGAACCAAGUGGGAAUGACUAACAUGUCAAAGUGUGCAGAAGUGAGAUCAUUUUCCCCGUGAGGAUAUCUUUUUUUGUGUGAUUCCUCAUCAGAAAACUAGAAGUAAAAGCAUUUUUUUCUGAACAAACCAAGAAGUAAACUGUGAUGACAUUUCCUCAUUUUCAGUUUCCUCAAAGAAACUCAUAGUCUGAUUAUUCACUCAGAGACAUAGUCAUGGAUUUCUUUGCAUUCUAGGAAGAAAAGAAAAAUUGAUAAAUAAAUAAGUAGAGUUUAUACACAUAUUUUAAUAUUCAUUCACAAACACACACAUAUUUGUUGACUGACACCAGUUGUACCUUCACCUUCAUUCGGAACACUUCUGCUUUAGUGAGGGAGCUAAUCACAGCAAUAACUACCUCUUGUAAAUCUAAGGUGGGGUAGCCCUCCAUGUUUUCAAUAGUCUAGGAUUAAAAAAAAAUUAAAAAAAAAACCCACAUAUAUUUUGUAGAAGGGUAUGUUAUUUGGAAGUGAUUUCAACUUCAUAGAGGAAAUAAGCUCUAAUUUCAGAAUUUGUCCAGACGAUCUUUGUUAGAAGAUACGAAGACUAUGCUUCCAAUCAUUCUCCUUCUGUAGAAUGCUAGAUCUCUGUUUCAUUUACUUUUACCUCUUAUUUAACCCAAAGGGGGAAAAAAAUAGUAUUCUGUCAGUAUAUAUAGUAAUGUCAAUUCCUCUUUCUAAGAUGGCAAUGACUAUUUUCUUCUGUAGCUGGGAAGAGUUAUUUGCUCCACUCCUGAAAGUCCAGGAGGGAGAGAACCGGCAUUUUUCAUAUUCAUCAGGCUCUGGCAAGCUUCUGCUUUCCCUGUGCUUUUUGUCACCUGCAUUUAUUUUACCUAAGUCUAGGUAAAACAAACAAACAAACAAACAAACAAACAAAAAACUUCCUUCAUGAGAAUUGGGAUAAGAAGCCAGAUAUUCAGGUUUUUCCUAUGUGUGCUAUGUAUCUAUAAAGUCUGUUUGAUUUGGGAGUACGUCUGUUGGUCUUCCAAAGGUCUGUUAUAUUUCUCCUUUGUAAUGCAGUGAAUAAUUCUGAGUUUGUUAUGAGCAAAGCAUCCAGUCAAGGCAAAUCCCUGACAUUAGACACAUCUCUCAGCAUUCGAAAUGUCCUGCAGUGAAACCUCAUGUAUAAUGUUGAAUGUGUUGCUGCUACCAAAUUCCAGAAGAUUCGACAACAAUUUUUUUUGUCUUUUCAAUGUGAAAAAGAUAUGGAAUCUUUUUUUACUGAUUUUUUUUUUAAUGAUUAAAUG